AACGAACGCUGGCGGCAGGCCUAACACAUGCAAGUCGAGCGAAGCCUUCGGGCUUAGCGGCGGACGGGUGAGUAACGCGUGGGAACGUGCCCUUUGGUACGGAAUAGCCCCGGGAAACUGGGAGUAAUACCGUAUGUGGUCGAGAGACGAAAGAUUUAUCGCCAAAGGAUCGGCCCGCGUUGGAUUAGGUAGUUGGUGGGGUAAUGGCCUACCAAGCCGACGAUCCAUAGCUGGUUGGAGAGGAUGAUCAGCCACACUGGGAGGGAGACCCGGCCCAGACUCCUACGGGAGGCAGCAGUGGGGAAUCUUAGACAAUGGGGGAAACCCUGAUCUAGCCAUGCCGCGUGAUCGAUGAAGGCCUUAGGGUUGUAAAGAUCCUUCAGUGGGGAAGAUAAUGACUGUACCCACAGAAGAAGCCCCGGCUAACUCCGUGCCAGCCGCCGCCGUAAAAC
rnacentral:rRNA from 1 species